UACGUAGGGUGCGAGCGUGUCCGGAAUUAUUGGGCGUAAAGAGCUCGUAGGCGGCUUGUCGCGUCGGAUGUGAAAACCCGGAGCUCAACUCCGGGCCUGCAGUCGAUACGGGCGGACUCGAGUUCGGCAGGGGAGACUGGAAUUCCUGGUGUAGCGGUGAAAUGCGCAGAUAUCAGGAGGAACACCGGUGGCGAAGGCGGGGUCUCUGGGCCGAUACUGACGUGAGGAGCGAAAGCGUGGGGAGCGAACAGG
rnacentral:rRNA from 1 species